GAUGAACGCUAGCGGCAGGCUUAACACAUGCAAGUCGAGGGGUAGAGGAAGCUUGCUUCCUUGAGACCGGCGCACGGGUGCGUAACGCGUAUGCAACCUACCUUUUACAGAGGGAUAGCCCAGAGAAAUUUGGAUUAAUACCUCAUAGUAUAUAGUCUUCGCAUGUUGACUAUAUUAAAGUUCCAACGGUAAAAGAUGGGCAUGCGUCCUAUUAGCUAGAUGGUAAGGUAACGGCUUACCAUGGCAACGAUAGGUAGGGGUCCUGAGAGGGAGAUCCCCCACACUGGUACUGAGACACGGACCAGACUCCUACGGGAGGCAGCAGUGAGGAAUAUUGGACAAUGGGCGCAAGCCUGAUCCAGCCAUGCCGCGUGCAGGAAGAAGCAUCUAUGGUGUGUAAACUGCUUUUGUACAGGAAGAAACACCCCGACGUGUCGGGACUUGACGGUACUGUAAGAAUAAGGAUCGGCUAACUCCGUGCCAGCAGCCGCAGUAACAC
rnacentral:rRNA from 1 species